rnacentral:rRNA from 1 species
UACAGAGGGGGCAAGCGUUAUUCGGAAUUAUUGGGCGUAAAGGGCGCGUAGGCGGCCUGACAAGUCGAAGGUGAAAUCCCUCGGCUCAACUGAGGAACUGCCCUCCAAACUGUUUGGCUUGAGUCCGGGAGAGGUGAGUGGAAUUCCCAGUGUAGCGGUGAAAUGCGUAGAUAUUAGGAGGAACACCAGUGGCGAAGGCGGCUCACUGGACCGGUACUGACGCUGAUGCGCGAAAGCGUGGGGAGCAAACAGG